GUGCCGGUAGCUCAGCUGGAUAGAGCAUCAGCCUUCUAAGCUGAGGGUCACUGGUUCGAAUCCAGUUCGGCAUA
rnacentral:tRNA from 1 species